AGGUGUACCUGGCAGGGGAGUGGAGAUACCAUGAUGAAGAAGAUGGUUCACCCAGGGCGAGGCUCAUCCAUUGCACUCCGGUUUUGCUGAACCCUGCGAAUUCCCCAAAUGUGGGAAUCUCGACUGCAGAAUUUCUGGUAGAGGGGGACUGUGUCCACGCUCUCCCCUG